GCUUGGGUGGUGAAAUUGGCAAACACGCCAGAUUUAGGAUCUGGUGCCGCAAGGCUUAAGGGUUCAAGUCCCUUUCCAAGCACCA
rnacentral:tRNA from 1 species